CCUAUAUUCAGGCUACAACGAGUUCGAUCCUUCUUUAGACAUUGACGGCCUUACGCGAGACGAAGGGAUCCAGAAUGGUGCUAGAACCAGCUACGGUCGAAGACCUCCGACCAGUUCCGGUUUUCACGCUGGCAUGCCGAGCACU
rnacentral:lncRNA from 1 species